rnacentral:lncRNA from 1 species
AUGAUAAACUUAGGCCAAAAUUGGAUCUUUAGAGUCUCUUAACCUUACAUAUGUCUCAGUAGUAGCUCUAGCCCAAUAAAAAAUUGAAUAGCUACUACUUCCCAUUCCAUCAUUAUUACAUUAUAGAGCAAGUGUUCACACAUGCUUCUUGUGCAUUCUUCAUUAUCUCAAUAAUUCUCAUAGAUGCACAUUUCAUUUGAUGUUCUUCUAUAGCCUCUUCAUAUUUAUUUAAAGCUUCAUCUCUCAUAUCAACUUUAAUUCCUGCUUUUGGCAUUGCAAAUUAUAUAAAUACUUGUCCUAUCUCUUCUUCCUCAUCCAUACUUAUCCAAGUAUCCAAUGCCUCUAUCAUAAUAGCUUCAGCUGUCAUUUGCUUCUUCUUCUUUAUCAUAUUAAUGAUCAAUUCAUAGAAAUCCUUUUUAGCUAUACCAAGAGCCUC